CCGGCCCGGCCCGGCCGCGCCCCCGCCGCGGAAAGACUCCCCCGCCGCCAAGAGUGGGGCCCCGGCAGCCCCGGGCCUGCCCGCAGCGAGAACCGGGUAGGCGGGUCUGUUCCCUUUUCUCCUUGGAGCUGUAAGUCCUCGGGUCACAAGAUCACGAAAGAAACAUUUAGAGAAACCUUCAGACCCACAAAAGCAUGAAUACUUCAGUCUGAAGUCUUCAGUCUUCAAAUGGAAUUCAAUCUGAAGGACACUUACGGACUGCACACAUUACCUGUAACUGAAGUGUGACAAUAAUCUUUUGGCCAUCUUAUUGCAGAAGUAUGAGAACAAGUAACUUUAAACAGCAAGUCAAGCAGCAGCCUUCAUUGUGUCUGAAUUCCUCAAGAAGAGCUUCUCAGGAAUCAUUAACCAGAUUUACAGGCUUGAACAACUCUUCAAUGAUAAAAACAGGAGUGUGUGGUGUUUAAACCUUGAACAUAUCUGCCACAAAUGAUGAGUCAGAUACCUACUAACUCACUGAAGUAUUAACCUAAAAAAGACAGUAAGUUUCCAGAAGAAAAGUAACAGAUUGACGGGGUCAAGCUUCCACAUAAUUCAUUACUUCAUACAUCAUCAAUGCAGCUGGUUACAGUGAAGAAUGGUUUAAAGAAGCAAUUCAUCUCCCCUUCUAUUCCUCCCAUUUCAACAUCAAAAUGGAUUUUCUGCUGGAAAUAGCAAGUCAGUGUCUUUGCAAGCCCUGCAGCUCUCUGUUGAUCGUGUUAUCCAUAAACUACAGAUUGCCCAUUUCCAAAACAGGUUUCCCAGGUCAUUGCUCUACUCCUCCAGCCAGAAUUUCAAAAGGCACCAUUUGUCCCAAUUCACAGUUUGGCAGAAGCUGUCAAUAAACAUCAUAUGUGAUUUAAGCCUGGAAACCAAUGAAGCUUUGUCAAUCCUUUCCCAUCAGAUCCUCUACAACCUCAUUUCAAAGGAUUUUCCCAGUUCUACAACCAAUGUAAAAGCCUUCCUCACUCUGUAAAUAAAUCUUGACACUUCA